CACAUGCAGGAGGUGUCUUUUUCUGCAUACAUCAAAGGAAUCAUGUCCAUUGGAGAACCUUUCCAGGGGGCAUAUAUCAAGAAAGGACACCUCUACAGGAAGACUGUUGAAGUAUUCCUGGGUAAAUAGAUGUAUGUAAACCUACAUGUCACUUACUAUAUUUGGCAUACUGCAUUUAGGAUUCCUGGCUGAAACAGAGCAUGCUCUGUAAACAGGAUAGCAUUACACUUAGGCGCUUCUCCCAGUUUGGAAUUAGAGGUAAGUUUUCACAGGCAUGGCUUCCCUCCACACUCCUGGGAGAUAUAUUGUUUAUGAUCUAACAAAGCUUGCCUGAGAGAUCAGAAUGCAAAGCUAGCCACAGCCACAGAAGCUGGGCAGUGGUGGCACACACCUUUAAUCCCAG
rnacentral:lncRNA from 1 species